ACUGUUCAACAUAAGUAAAUAGCUUAGUCCUUCUUAAGUCCAUUUUGGUAAAAGCUAUAGUUCAAUUAGUUUUCUUGAUUUUCUUAAAAUUUUACUCAAAGUUUGUGCCUUAUGUUGUACAUUUGCCUCACGGGCUGGCUAACUGACCUACAUGAGGCUGGCCAACUGAUCUGGAGGUUCACUAUCUAUGUUCUUUCAUUUCAUUGUCAAACAUAGAUAUUCUAAAUCUGAAAGUCUGUCGAAAUUUCCUAUGGAGUCUUGUGGUACCUUUAGUGUUUCUUAUCAUGUCCAGUAGAAGGUCUUGGAAAACAUAUUUGCAAUACAUGAUAUUUUUUAAAUCAAAAGUAGUAAUAUGCUGUGUAAUUGCCUUCUUGCCUCCUGACAUGUGGCAAAUUCAUUGAGCGUUUUCACUUACAUCGCUGGCAUAUUCAGUGAACAACGCAAAGAUGAUGGUUUUGAGUGAGAGGUCCUUUGGUCAAGGUAAUUUCAGAGCAUUGAUUUUCAAUGUACUUGUAAACCCAAGAGAAAGUUGAGCAGGCCACAUUCAGUUGUUAACUGGACUGUUGGCUUGCUGCUAUGGCAACAUGUUUUCAGCCUUAUUAUUACUUGCCGAGUUUACAUUGGGAUCUGAAAACUGGACUGUGUGCCAUUAGUUUUGUCUGUCUCCAGGACAUUGCCCAUGCACAUGAACUGACUGAUUACCAUGAAAAUUCACCUGUUUCAGUUCCAAACUAAUUAUUGCUUCAAGGUCACAAAGCUAUAUGAAAAUCUGUAUCCAAUUGAAUGCCGGAACUCUCUAGGAUGAUGUCAGGCAUUCCCAUUUAUAGGUUAACCUGAAGUGAUUCUUGAAGAUUAGUUUCUGCGUGGUUGAUUUGAAUUGUUUGUAAUAUUGUAUGCUUCAUCUUGAUUACUAUCAAUUUCACAGGUCAUGUUCAUUGUGAGGAAUGGAGCGCAAUAAUGCUUUGUGGUAACUCUGGGCAGACGAAAAUAGGCCACCUCUACCAUUUUCUUGAUAUUUAUUUUCUGAUAUCUGACUAUUGUAUUUGUCGUGAAAUUUAAAUUGUAGACGCUAUCAGAUCAUGUGUCACUUCAUGCUUUGAUCAUGUGAAAAAAUUCAGUGUAUUUACCCAUGAUCGGUGCCUUGCCCCGAGGGGUCUUUAAUUCCUGGAGGGGUCUUUAAUUCCUGAAUUAGGCAACGGUGAAUUUUCUUCUUAAUAUAUAGAUGCGCAGCUCUCCCGCAUGUUCGAGAAAAAUGAGGCAACAGUGACACAGCGCUGGUAGAAAGUAGAAAGUGAAGAAGCGGUUUGAGCAUAUUGCUACUGACAGCUACCUCCGCAAGAUUUGGCCGGUACUGCAAGCUCUGAGUUUCACAACUCUGAACCACUUGGUAAAAAACAGUCUGAAUUUUGUGUUGUGAUUAACUGACUAGACAUCCGAAUAAAUUAAUGUACUGAUAUUCUGAAAUUUGUUUUAGCACUGGGACUCUCUGGACUAUCCGGUGGAAUCAGGCCUUGGCAGGACUGAGGCAGAUGUGGGGGGUGACACCGUGCAGGUGAGGUGGUGGUGGUAUCUGGCUCUGGCAUCUCCCUUUAUCCGCUUGAUGGAAUGGCAGCAUGGGUAUGGAGACACCUUCAGCAUCUAAACAAAGCCCAAAAGGUACAAAGAUACUAUUUAAUCACUUUUGAUUUGUUAAUUUGCUAUCAUAUAAAUUGCAGUAACAGGUCUUGAGUAAUAUGUCAAUGCUAUAAUUUUGCUUGCUUGUUGUGUGUCCUCUCUAAAAUCUUUUCUUUACCAUAUAUAUCCAUAUGCACAAGAUAUUUGCAGUUACAAGUAUAAUCCUCAAGGAGUGAAAAGCUUGUGAUUCUGUCCGUGCAGGCAACAGGCAUUGAUCGCUAAUCAGCAUGGCCUCCACAAGUACCCAUCAUGGGAAGUGCAGCAACCAGUAUUGUGUUCAAACCUGAAGAAAAUAUAUGGGGAUGGCUGGGUGGCUGCACAGCUCAUGGCAGGGACCAAUUUGGAGUCUGCAUCUUCUUUCCCAUAUAUAUAUGAUAUUUCCAUAUACUGUCAGGAUGCUAUUAAACUGCCUUCACCAGAUUACAAUAAACUGUGAACUUCAGAACUUUAAUUUUCGAUAAGUUGGAGUCGACGCUUAAAACUUCAGAGCUUUAUUUACUCCUAUGUACCAACAGCUCUAAAUUUUUGUGCACUGCACCCUUAGUUUUUUAGUGAACAAUACUGAUUGCUGAGGUUAUAAUGCAUCUUUCUAUGUGGGACUAUAGUUUUGUCAAGUAAGGCUAUGUACACAUUGAUAAAUCUGCUUCAGAAUAAUAUUGCUAAUAUCUCACUAUCUGAAGAAAGUCAGGUUUAUCAGUUAUUUAUAGAAGACUUGCUUGUUAGAAAGGACCUAAAUAGGUUUUCUUUGUCUAUGUGAAUUUUCGGGGAAUUCUGCUUAUCUUCCACGGAUAGAUGCUACUUCUCCUGUAAUAUUGAAUUGGGUCAUGUGUGUGUCAGCUCUUUGCUUGCCAAAGGAGCUUGUGACUUGCAACUACUACUACUUAUUCAAUGAUCUCUAAUAAUUGAAUCAUUUUGUUCAGAUUCUAAUUAUCAGGUCUUUUCCUCAUCUCUUUAUGUUUUGAGGUGUUGGAUGAGAAAGGGUUAAUGGUGGUUGCUACCAUUCUACAAGAAAUUAGAGAUUGUCAUUAUGAGUGCUGUAGUUGAAGUGGGGUUAAUGUUAAACCAUGAUGGUACCAAGGAGACUUCAUCCAUUUGAAUAUUCUACACUCAAGAAACAGAAAGGUGACAGUUGUCAAAUACAUAUUAUGAACUAGCUGAAAUUAAAAUAUUCUUGUAUUCCUUAGAUUAUUUGUGUCAUGCAAACUCCACUUUAGAAAAUUCCAUUCUAAAUUGCUGUGUGAGAUUAUGUACCAUUCUAAUAUGAUCUCAUGGGGGAAUUAUUUAGCCCAUAGCAACGCACGGGCACGAUCCUAGUGGAAUUGAAAAGAAUAGAGAUCGCGUAUGACAAGAGUACUCUAGGUAAUAUUUCUUCAAAUACCGAUUCAGCUCCCUCAUUUUCACUUCAAUAUUUUCACCAAUGGUAUAGAAAUAGAACUUGAUGAAUUCCACGUCUCAUCGAGCAAAACAUCUCGAAUUGCUAGCAACAUCUUCAAGAAAAGGUGGGCUGUAGGAUGCCUGUUUGCGGAGAAUGCUUUGGUUGCCUCACUUAAAGCAUCACGAAUGUCCUUUACUGCUUUGUUAUUCACACUAGCAUUGUCUAAUGUCAAGGUAAACAGCUGUUCAAUCAACUCCCACUUCAUCAACCACAACUUCUUGUCCUAGAUCCAUAUCACCUAGAUGACACAACUUCUUAGCCUUCGGCCUAGUAUCUUCCAAGUGAACAAAAGAGCCUGGAAUGUGAAUAAGAUCAACAAAUUUGAAUAAAAUACCAACUUGUUUUGGUUUUACUGACUGCUUGUAUUUUUAGUACUACAAUGAGUAGGUUUGAAGAAAAUAUGAUUCUGUAUAUGAUGCAGUUGUUUUGGCUCACAGCUAACUGUAUUUUGUUCCCAUGAUAAAAAAAUUCUGAUCAGAAAUCUUGUUUUUUCACUUCAGAUUAGAAGUAAUGUAAGAUGUCAGAUUAAUGGACGAUGAGGAGCAUAAGUUUUAGGCUUCGAGGACACAGUGCCCCUCCAAUUGCAUACUGAUACUGCUAAAACGAAAGGGGACUGAGGUGACUGGGAUAUCAUCAGUAUCAGAUAUACUAGCAGCUAUGUUCAUGAGCUUCUAUGUGGUGAAACAAGCUGGAGAUGACUAAGGUAUAGGAGCUUUUUUUCACAGAACAGUAGGACCAUUUUCACGAGAUUCAACUGCCUGAUCUUAACUGAAUGGUAAACAUAAGCAAUACCAGUAUGCAACCAACAAAAGAUCUUGCACUCCCAUCUUACAUUCUCUAAAACAGUAACAAUUCUAAGUUCACAGAUCUAGUGGUACUAAAAAGCUCAAUGAACGAAUUUAAUUUGCCAAUGCCAUCCUCCUGCUCUACAAAACCCAAAAACUCAAGCAGAUUGAAGCUGCAAAGGAGAGUUUAAAAAUAGCCAACACUAGCAGAAUACUGCACGAACUAGGCACAGCGCAGUAUAAACAAAAAGACAAAUAGGAAAGGCAAACACAUCAGAUGAAAAUCACCUGCACGCCGACGCCACCUGCGUCCGCUGCUGAGGCCGCCUGCUCUUGCUGGCCGCCGCGCGUCGGCCUAGCCGCACGCCCUGCCGGAGCCCGCCGGGGGCCGGCCCCACGGGAGCGCCUCGCACCCCCGCACCGCCCGGAUCUUGAGUUCUUGCGCCGCCGCCGCCGCCGCACGAGCCUGGAGAGGCCGCGAAAAAGAGGAGAGCCCCUUUCCUGCGAUCCACGGGCUCAGCCCUUCCAAUUGACUCAAGGAUCGAUUAUGGGCCACGUUCACAGGUCAGCCCUUUUAUGGAGAUGGCCCGAUCUGAUCCUGCCCAUUCUUCGGGAAGGCCUUUUAAGGCUCGGCCUAUAUGAGCUUGUAAGGCCCGAUCGGUUUGGCCCUUGGAUUUUCCAGGCUUAAGUAUAGGUAUAAGGUUUUCUACGUAUCUAAAAUAUUUUCCACUAGAAAAGGUUUUCUACGUAUGUAAAAUAUUUCCACUUGACUACCCGAUAAGGCAAUCAUUCGUGUGGCACAUGCCCGGGGCCUACUCGGAAAGUGAGUGCGCAUCCUCUCACAUGAUUGGACACAUCCACUUGACUCCUCAAAGGUCGUCAAUGCUUGCAGCUUGCAUUUUCCACAGAAGCAGCAGCUCUUGAACCCACUGUCCAGCAUCUCCCUCUCCACCCACCAACACUGUGUUUCCCUGUCUACUGCGCGUGUGUUUUGGAGCUCCCGGCGUAGCCAUGGCUGAGGUACUGGCCACCAUGGUGGUCGGGCCACUGGUGUCCAUGGUGAAGGAGAAGGCCUCCAGCUACCUCCUGGACCAGUACCAGGUGAUGGAGGGCAUGGAGGAGCAGCACAAGCUCCUGAAGCGCAAGCUGCCGGCCAUCCUCGAUGUCAUCGCCGAUGCCGAGCAGCAGGCGGCGAAACACAGAGAAGGGGCCAAAGCUUGGCUGGAGGAGGUCCGGACGGUGGCCUACAAGGCGAAUGAUGUCCUCGACGAGUUCAAGUACGAGGCGCUUCGCCGCAAAGCCAAGGUGGAGGGCCACUACAAGGCGCUCGGCAUGGAUGUAAUAAAGCUCUUCCCUUCUCACAACCGUGUUGUGUUCCGUUAUAAGAUGGCAAAAAGGCUCUGCAUGAUCUUGCAAGAAAUUGAUGUCCUCAUCGCAGAGAUGAAUGCGUUCAGGUUCAAAUUCAAACCGCAGCCGCAAAUGCCCAUGCAAUGGAGGCAGACGGAUGCUUGCAUCCCCACUGAGUCUGUGGAGAUUGCCAGCAAAUCAAGAGCUCAAGAGACGAAGGUUCUUGUUGAUCGAUUGCUUGCUGGAGCCAGCAGUAAGGAUCUCAUGGUCCUUCCGAUAGUCGGAAUGGGGGGGUUGGGCAAGACCACCUUAGCACAGCUCGUUUACAAUGACCCUGAAAUUCAGAAGCAUUUCGAGUUGCGGCUCUGGGUGUGUGUCUCUGAGGAUUUUGAUGUGGAUUCCCUGGCUAACAGAAUAGUGAAAGAGAAUGGUUGUAAAGCAAGUGAAAGUUCAUCAGCACUGGACAAUCUUCAAAAGGCAGUGAGUGGGAAGAGGUACCUCCUCGUAUUGGAUGAUGUGUGGAACCGUGAUGAGCCCAGCAAGUGGGAAAGGCUCAAGUCCUACCUUCAGCAUGGUGGCAGCGGUAGCUCAGUGCUGACAACAACUCGCGAUGAAGCUGUUGCUAAACUAAUGAUGGGUACAACUGAAAGAGCCUAUAAACUUGGAAGCUUGGAUGAAGAGUCCAUAGGGAAAAUUAUCAAGGCAAGAGCAUUCGGUUCAAAACAAGAAAAGGAAUGGCCUGGUGAGCUAGUUCACAUGGUUGGUGAAGUUGCCAAGAGAUGUGCUGGUUCUCCUUUAGCUGCUACAGCAUUGGGCUCUUUACUGAGUACCAAGACCAGCAAGCAAGAAUGGAAGGAUGUACUAAAUGGAAGCACGAUUUGUGAUGAGGAAAAUGGGAUUUUACCAGUACUUAAACUAAGUUACAAUUGCUUGCCAUCAUACAUGCGGCAAUGCUUUGCUUUCUGUGCUAUGUUUCCCAAGGAUUAUGAGAUUGACGUGCAAAUGCUAAUCCACUUGUGGAUGACCAAUGGUUUUAUCCCAGAGCAAUCAAAAGUGUGUCCUGAAACUUUUGGAAAAGGAAUUUUCAUUGAGCUGAAGUCAAGGUCAUUUUUUCAGGAUUUGAAGAAUGUCCCAUUUUACGAAAAUGGAUAUUCUAUUCAUGGAGAGGGUGAUGAGCACAGGUAUUGUUCUAGAAUUACUUGUAAGAUCCAUGACCUUAUGCAUGAUGUUGCACAGUCUGCUAUGGGAGAAGAAUGUGCUGCAAUAGCUACACACCCAAGUGAAAGAGAGGAUGUUCUUCGUUCAGCUCGUCACUUGUAUUUGUCAAUCCGUCGAUCAGAAACUCUUCUGAGUGCUUCCCAAGAGAAAGGAUCUCCAGCUUUCCAAACACUGAUUUGUGACGGAUAUGUAGGAGAUUUGAAGAUUUUAUCAAAAUACAAUUCUAUAAGAGCUUUAAAGAUCCGUUGUGGUUCAAUCCUAAGGCCGAAAUAUCUUCAUCACCUGAGGUAUCUUGAUCUCUCGAGAAGUGAUAUUGAAGCACUUCCUGAAGACAUUAGCAUCCUAUAUCAUCUGCAAACACUGAACCUUUCUUACUGUGACUGGCUUGAACGGCUUCCAAAGCAACUGAAGUAUUUGACUGGCCUCCGUCACCUCUACACUCACGGAUGUGAAAAGUUGAAAAGCAUGCCUGCAGAGCUCGGACGCCUGACUUCCCUACAGGCGCUUACAUACUUUGUAGCAGGUACCGAUGACUCCGGUUGCAGUAAUUUGGGAGAGCUGCAGAAUUUGGACCUUGGUGGUACACUGGAGCUAGGAAAUCUAAAAAAUGUGACAGGAGCAGAUGCACAAGCAGCAGGUCUUGGAAACAAGAAAAAACUGACCCAACUGGAGUUAUGUUGGACUGAUAGUGACCAGGAAGCACAGAAUAAUAAUCAUAAAGAGGUGGUGGAAGGUCUCAAACCUCAUGAUGGGUUAAAGGCUCUGAGGAUAAAUCACUACGGGAGCACAACUUUUCCAACGUGGAUGAAUACUUUGAAAGGCAUGGUGGAGCUCACAUUAUUCCGUUGCAAAAAGCUCGAAGAGCUUCCUGCACUCUGGGAGCUAUCAGCUCUGCAAAUUCUUCACCUGAAGGGUUUGGAGAGUUUACAUUGUUUGUGCAGCGGUGGUACUACACCCAUCACAUUUCCAAAACUGAAUGUACUUAUCUUGUUAGAAAUGGCAAAAUUUGAGGCAUGGCGGGAGGCACAUGAGGUACAAGGAGAAGAGCCGAUAUUUCCCAAGGUUGAGGAGCUGGUGAUUAAGGAGUGUACAAGUUUGACUGCAUUACCAAAAGCAGCGUCGGUGAUUACAGAAUUGUCUGGCAGAGUUGACACUAAGUGCCGCUCUGCAUUUCCAGCAUUGAGGAAAAUGAAGCUAUAUAAGUUGACUGUGUUUGAAAGAUGGGAGGCAGGCGAAGGAAUUUCAGGCGAAGAGGUAACCUUUCCUCAGCUUGAGGAGCUGUCAAUCGAGUAUUGUGGCAGCCUGAGUGCACUACCAAAAGGGCCAUUUGGCGGAGCUGAAACUGUGUGUUGCUGCUCCGCAUUUCCAGCACUGAGGAAACUAGAGUUAUCUGGUUUGUUGGCCCUUGAGAGGUGGGGGGCAGCCGAAGGAACUCCAGGAGAAGAGGUAACAUUUCCUCUGCUGGAGAACUUGAGUAUCCAUGAUUGCCCGAGGUUGACUGAUCUACCUGAAGCACCGAAGCUAAGUGAAUUAUCCAUAAGUAAAGGACAUGGUCAACAACAAAUAUCCCUAGAGGCAGCUAGCAGAUGCAUCCCUUCAUUGUCCCGUCUGACUCUGACCGUGUCACCCGAUGACACAGAAACAACAUUGCUGCAUGUCAAGAAUAAAUUGAAUGGUACACUCGCCUUGGCAGCUAUGCGGUUAGGUCGGUGCGACAUUUUUUUCUCCUCCAGCUCAAGCGCACUGGCGCUAUGGACAUGUUUUGCACAGUUAGUAGAUUUGGAUAUUUGGGAUUGCGAUGCUCUUGUCUACUGGCCAGAAAACGUGUUCCAGGUCCUGGUAUGCCUGAGGAAGUUAGCGAUUUCCAGAUGCAGCAAACUGACAGGACGCACACAAGCUUCUGAUGAGCAAUCUGCUCCAGCUCCAGAACGUGGUGGACUCCUGCCAUGCCUGGAGUCUCUAGGGAUAGUAGAUUGUGAAUCUUUGGUAGAGGUCCCCAUCCCGGCAUCUCUCAAGAAAUUACGUAUUUGGGGCUGCAGUAGUAAUGUCGGGUCCAUCGUAUUUGGUCACCCGGAGGAUACGAGAUUGGUGAGUGGAGAAGGUGUUGUACGGCCGAAUACGUCAUCAUUAAUUCCAGGGUCCAGCAGCAGUGAGGCCACAGCGUCUACAGCUGUACUGAAGCUGUCAUCUGCAGCCAACCAUCGCUUCCUUCCAUUUCAAUGCCUAGAAUUUCUAGGUAUAGCGUGUUGCAGUGGCUUGUCAGAGGUUGCCAAUCUUCCUCCGUCUAUCAAGACCUUGCGCAUUUGUGGCUGCGGCAAGUUUCAAUCCCUAUCAGGAGACCUCCGGUUGCUGGAAGAACUCAAGCUUUAUCAUUGCGAAAGACUGGUAUCCUUACCGGAUGGGCCUCAAGCAUACUCAUCUCUUAGAGUUCUUCGGAUUGAAAAUUGUGAUGGUAUAAAGUUGCUUCCGCCAAGCCUACAGAGCCGUUUGGGCUACCUCGAGGAGAAAGAUCUAGAUGCCCGUUACGAAGGUAAUCUCCAGUUUCUUUGUUUCUUUUAACAAAAUGAUCAAGAGCUCAAUUGUUGUUACCUAAAAUGCAACUCUGUGCUUAAACAUUCUGUUAGCUAUUACAAGAUGUGGUAGGAUUUAGUGGUAAGAAGUUUAUGAGUAUUACUCUGUGUUAAACAUUCUGUUAGCUAUCUAGCCAAGCCGUUCAUGAUGUAUACAUUAUAUUGACUAUUGAGUACAAUGCACCACUAAUAUUUAUGUGCAUGUGUGUCAUCGAAAUACAUUAACUUCGUGUAUUAUUGCCAUUCGGGGUAUCUAAACACGUACAACCAGAUCAAGAACCGCAGUCAUCCUUGUAUUUAUAGCUAUAAGAUGAUCUUUGUUGUUCACUUUUGAUACCUUGGUUGUAAACUUGUAAUUGCUAACUCGAAUCAUGUAAUAAAAUCAAUCAUCUUCCUUUAGUUGUAUUUAAAGCAGCAUGGCAUCAUGGAAUUAUUGCAGCCGAAUUCACUAGCUCCAAUUAAAGUGGCACUUGUCCUAGCGUUUCUCUGCAAAUUCACUAGCUCCAUUGCAUACAGUUCAAGUAUGUGUAGUUUUCUUUUCAUGGCUUAUGCCUUUUGACAUAAAUAAUAAUUUUCCUUUCCUUUGAAACAUUUACUAUUGGGUACCACAGCAUAUUCUCCUGUGUAUAUAUAUACUUUCUAACUUUGUGUUGAUUUGCAUGCAUAAAUUCUAACAUCAUCUGUGAUCAUGGCUAUAAGAUGAUCUUUGUUGUUCACUUUUGAUACCUUGGUUGUAAACUUGUAAUUGCUAACUCGAAUCAUGUAAUAAAAUCAAUCAUCUUCCUUUAGUUGUAUUUAAAGCAGCAUGGCAUCAUGGAAUUAUUGCAGCCGAAUUCACUAGCUUCAAUUAAAGUGGCACUUGUCCUAGCGUUCCUCUGGAAAUUCAUGAUCACUAGCUCCGUUGUAUGCAGUUCAAGUAUGUGUAGUUUUCUUUUCAUGGCUUAUGCCUUUUGACAUAAAUAAUAAUUUUCCUUUGAAACAUUUACUAUUGGGUGCCACAGCAUAUUCUCCUGUGUAUAUAUAUACUUUCUAACUUUGUGUUGAUUUGCAUGCAUAAAUUCUAACAUCAUGGCCUGAUUGCCAGAAUUGCCAGAACCAACCUGGAAACGUUCAAUCAGGAAGCUGGUGUGCUCGAAAUAGUAGAUCAAGGCCUGACCAAAGAAAAUUAUCUCCAAGGUAUUUUUGCAAAGAUAUCACCAAGGUUUGUAAUAUUAGUGUUCUUGAUGAUUGAUUGGAAAUGAUGCUAGCUCCUAAUGCUGACUUCCUAUGCGCUGUGACUUCCUUGUAGGAUGGUGCCAGACCUGCAAAAGAUGGAUUAUUGUGACUCUUGUUUAGAAUGUAUCAUAUGGGCAUUCUGAAGAUAUUCUCCAGUAAAGUCAAGGCAAAGUUCUAGAUUUUGAGCAGAAAACAAGUCCUAGAUUGCAAGCUGAAGAAUUUAGCACACAGAGCUGCGUGCUCCAGUCUUUUAUCCUUCUUCAAACCGAAGACCUUUAUUUUGAGCAGAAACGAAGUCCCAGACUGCAAGCAGAAGAAUUUAGCAUACAGAGCUGCGGGCUCCAGUCUUUUAUCCUUUUUUUUUUCUUUUGAGCCAUGACUUGUUUGCAUUCGUGUCUGCUUCAGCCUCCAGCACAAGCGAAACACAGGCAGCACUUUCAUUUUAUGAUUUGUCUAUCCACAUACAUGACCGACUGCCAUAGAGUAGACCAACAGUCCAACGUACUCAUGUUGUUGCUCGACAAGCUGUCCAAGCUGCUGCUUGAUAUGAACUGAAAGUGCUGAACUUUGUCCAUGUUAUGUUGGUAGUAUAUCUAAUACUGAACUUCAGAGUAGAACAACAGUCCAACGUGCUCAUGUUGUUGCUCGACAAGCAGUCCAAGCUGCUGCUUGAUAUGAACUGAAAGUGCUGAAUUUUCUCCCGUGUAUGUUCUGUGUUACUGUGUAUCAAAUACUGAAUGGUGUGCAGGGUGAUCCUGCAUCCUGGAAUGGCACGGUCUUGUGCAGAGGUCUCAUUGUUGUUGACCUGUUUCUUCAAAACUGCAUGUGCAGCAACAUUUUCUCCUGGCAGUGCUGCAAUGGAAUUGAAAAGAAUGGUGAUUGUUAUAGUAUAAUUGUCAUAUAUAGGCUGGGACACAAAACAAUGGAUGUACAUGAGCAAGGAAGAAGCUCUGGAUGCAGGGGAUGGAACAGAACAGAGACACGGACUCUGUCAACAGCGAUGCUCCCCAAGCGAGCAGAGGCAGAGCAGCGAAGCCCGCCUCGCAAUCUCCGCUACCCCCAUCGAAGUUGCCACACGCCACCGCAUCUCCCUCCACUCCGCUCCCACUCCCCCGCCACCGCCAUGGCCGCCGCCGCCGCAGCGCCCUCCCUCCUGCACCCACCGGCGGCCCGCAAGGCCCCCACACCUUCUCCCUCUCCUUACCCUUCCCCAUUCCUCCGCCUCCCGGCCCCCGCGCACCCGCGCCUCCCGCUCCGCCUCCGCUCCACCUCCCCGGCCGCCGCCUCCGACCUCACCGACUUCCCCAACCCGAACGGCAUCCUCGCGCCCAUCGACGUGGACGCCGCCACGGAGGCGGAGCUUCGCGAGAACGGGUUCCGGAGCACGCGCCGCACCAAGCUCGUCUGCACCGUGGGCCCGGUCACCUCGUCGCCCGAGCAGCUCGAGGCGCUCGCCGUCGGCGGGAUGAACGUCGCCCGCCUAAACAUGUGCCACGGGGACCGGGAGUGGCACCGGGGCGCCAUCCGGGCAGUCAGGAGGCUAAACGAGGAGAAGGGCUACGCCGUCGCCGUCAUGAUGGACACCGAGGGCAGCGAGAUCCACAUGGGGGACCUCGGCGGCGCCUCAUCGGCCAAGGCGGAGGUGAGGUGCUGUGCUUGUAUGUAAGCUGCUGUCCAGUUUUGGACUUGGCGUUGCAGUUUUCAGUUUUCAGAUUGAACGUAUUCCGUGAAAUGUGCUUGUGCAAUGUGGCAAUGUGGAUGAGAGGGGUGGUGGCAGUGGCAGUGUCAGGCAUUGCCGUUUCAUACUUCUGCAAAACCUAGCGAGUCAGGAUUUCACCAAAAUGUUUUUUUUCCAUCUUCGAAAUGGCUCAGUUGAUUUAGAUUUUCAGCUCAUGUUUGAAAUUGUUAUAGAAGGAAAAACAUUCAGAAUUUCAGAUUGUCAUCAAACACUGGAUUGUGAAAGUGGUAAUCAUUUUCAAGGCUUUCAAUCUUUCAAAAAAAUUUCAAGGCUUUCAGUAUCAGUGCAACUCAAAUAAAGUGCAUGGUAAACAUCACCAUGUUUUGGCUUUCUCUGCAUAUAAGACACGGUGCUGGAGUGGUUCGACGGCGCUGAGGUCCCAAUCCAACCAGUCAGGUUUUUUCAAGGUGUCGAGUUUGAGUGCUUACCUGCGUUGGCCCCAUUCCAACCGGGCGAGUCUUUAUUUAUUUUUCGUUUCUUUUCUUUUUUUGCCUAUGGCCUCCCAGGACCGUAGUCUUGUAUUUUCUAUUAUAUCAAUAGAAACUCGCACUAUCUUGUGCGGUUCGUUCAAAAAAAAGUGAUAGGCAUUGAGCUUCUGAAGGUCGUUGUCUAGAUAUUAGGCCCAAGCCUCAAUGGCUUUUUUUUCCCUGUUGCAAACCUUCCUGUAAGUAAAGGGCACACCAGUGCGAAAGCUCCCACACAAGGUGGGGUCUGGGGAAGGGAAUUCCUAGAUAGCCUUACCCUUGCAAAAUUCUUUUAAAUUUUUGCAAAGAGGUUGGUUCGAACCCAGGACCUCCGGGCCACAAGUGGAGAGUUUUACCACUGUGCCAGGUCCGCCCUUCUAGCAGAAUCUCUUAUGCUAGGUUUAAUUUGAAUUAGCUUUAUUAGUAGAAUGCUUGGCCCAUUUAUUGGUAAAUGGUAAAAUUCAUAAAGAUUAUCCUCAUUCCCUUAAUCAAUUUUAGGUGUUUAACUUGCAGCAAAUUCGAACAAUGACAGACAUGCAGCAUAUUGUUAGUUCAUCUGUAAGACUUGGCUUGCUGGUUUAAUGCUUUGUUAAAGGUUUGAAGUUAAUGUGUCUACUGGUAGCUAUUGAAUCUCUUUAUAGUUUAUUUAUAUCUUUUUUCUUUAUUAGUAUAAAGCCAUGUAGAAGUUUUCAGAAUACUGAAAUUUCUAGUGUUCGUUUUGUGGAGUCUCUGCACCUACAUCCUUUUUUGCAACUGCAUUUCAGAUCCUUCAGUUAUAGCAUGAAUAAUUUUUUAAAAAAGAAAAUUCUAGGUAGAUUCUUGCCCGUAGUUAAUGGUAGUGUCCGAUGAUAGUUGUGUUUUAGAUAAUACAUUAAUAUUAGUAAUCCAAAGAAACUAAACUACUUCCAUGAUGCUAAAUGUCAUCAGUGCUAGCUAGGGUCACUAUACCAAAAAGGAGAUUCUAUCACCAUUCGGCUGUUUAUCUUAAGUUUUUAACCAUACAGUUAGAAGUUUGAUUGUACACCUAUUCAAUAAUCCAAGGUUUUCUUGAGCCACGUUAUUUACCCAAUGACUUCCAUUUUUCUUGGCAUUAAAACCUUUCUGAAGUAAUUAACAAAUCAUGUCACAUUUGUUGGAUUCCACAGGAUGGAGAAGUCUGGACAUUUAGUGUUAGGUCAUUUGAAUUGCCUCUCCCAGAACGAACUAUUAAUGUGAAUUAUGACGGGUUUGCUGAAGGUAUGUAAGCUGACCUAUUUGUUGAUAUCUUUUGCUGUUAUUGUUCACUGCCAUAAUUUUGUCCUACACAGAUGUGAGAGUUGGUGAUGAGCUUCUUGUGGAUGGUGGAAUGGCUCGGUUUGAGGUGAUUGAGAAGUUGGGACCAGAUGUUAAGUGUCGCUGCACAGAUCCUGGUUUAUUGUUGCCACGUGUGAAUCUUACAUUCUGGCGUGAUGGCAGUAUUGUCCGUGAGAGGAAUGCUAUGCUUCCUACAAUUUCAUCAAAGGUAAAUGCACUAGCAUAAUAAAUUUCUUGCUGUAAUUACCAAAAGACCGCAAAACUUUGUUAAUCUAUGCCACCCCUUGGUACUAGUAUUGCAAUGGAUUUACAGCUUGGUUUUUUUUGUCAAUGCCAUGGUCAGUUCAAAACAACAUGUAUUAGUUCAAAGCCUUACAUUGUGCACUGAAACUCAUCUCUUGAUAGUUUUUAUCAGCUAUUUCUUAAGAAGGCUUCUACCACCUAGAGUUGUUUAACUGAAAAUUUAAUCUUCUAGUAGCAGAUACUAAUAUUAUAAGUUUAUAAUAAUGCUGCUCCUACCCCCGACGCAGCUUGCCGGAGGCCCUUGACGCAGCGCUGCCAUCCGCAAGCCCUAACGCCGCCGACGCGCCCCUCUCCUCGGUUGAUUUGGGAAGGCGCGGGACUGAGGCAGGGAGAUUGGGAAGCAGAGCUUCCUGUUCCUCGUCUGCUACUCUGCUUCAAUUGGGCACCGGGAAAAGCGAUGCUGCCGGGUGCUCGGGUUCUUGGAGAGGGGAUGGAAUGGAAUGAUGGAUCGAUGCGGGAUGCGUUGCUGUUGCUAGCGGCUUCUGAUUGGAGAGAGGAGAGAAGCUGGUUGCUUGUGUUACCGUGAACGUGAAGGAAAACAGAGUAGGGAGGAGAGCAAGCUGCUGGUGCAGGAGCAUCAUGGCUACGGCAAUGGCAGCGGUGCGGUUCGUUCCGUCAAAUCCCAGAUUUCGGCCACAUUUGAUUGAUGCGAUUUAAUUUGAUUCCUUAUUGGUCGCCAGCCACGCAUUCGAUUCAUGGACGCGCAGGCCCCGGUGGUGAUGCAAGCCACGGUGGUUCCUGCAUGACAAUAGGUUCUUGUUACAAGACAGUCAUCAGUCAUAUUGUGAAGAACUGAUGGCAGUUUUGAACACAAAUAUAGGAUUUCAUCACGAUACACUAGAGGUUUACAAUCAUCAACUACUGCAGGGGAAAAAAAUGGAGCUAGUAUUUUUGAAAAAUGGCCCGAUGUUGAAUCUGUGAUAAUGCAACUUAUGUAGCAGAGCAACCAUGGUAACACAAAAAUGUGCCAAGAGACUGACCUGAUCUUCUUCAGCCUCUCUCCAGGUCAUCCCCGAGCUUCAUGUCAAGAGCGUUGGAAACAACCUGGGAGAACCUACAUCCUUGUAAUCCUUCUUCAUGAUGAGGAAUCAGUCAGGGACCAUGAACUGGCGAGGGUUAGGAACCACAUUCUUGAGGCGCUCAAGCUCAUCUGGGGACACCUCACGAGCUCUGCACAAAAAUAUUAUCAUCAGAGCUAAACUUCAUGCAAUGGGGCAUUCUAGCUGUAGCAUACAACAACCUACUGGCCCAGUUUGUUAUUGCGGCACAUGGAAAAUUAGUGGGAAAGUGGUGCGAUGCACCCAUCUCAAAUCUCCAACUUCAAAAAACAUGAAUGCCAAAGACUUCUGCAUAGGCUGUCUUUAGAUGGCAGAUGUUUUUUAAAACACGUUUUCCAAUGGGCUUCACUCUCAAGUAGAUUCAGAAAAGCUAAUUGAUGAUCGGCACCAAGCCACAGAUGACUGCCACUAAUGAACAGUCAGUAGAUAAUUUCUGCAUUGUUGCCUAGAUUUCACCUGAGGAAAACCAAACUGAUUGAACAUCUCGCCACAAUUUCUUAGAUUAACUGAGCCCAUCACCUACGGGAAUGGAAGGAAAAAAAACCGAAAACUGUUACCAACAUUACAAUUUGUCAAAUAAUCUUCAUAUUCGAAUUCCCUAUACAAAAAUACCGCUUUGCCAGACUGGACCAGAAAGCAAACCAAACCUAAAUUCAGUAUAUUUAUACAUGUUGAAUCAUCUCUUGGUCACGUUUUCUUCAUUGAAAAGAAGUAAUGAGAAGAAACAUUCUUCAAAAAUUACUGAUCAAAACCAUAUUUUUAGUGUGCUACGAUUCUACAGCGACUUCAGUACAAUGGAAGCAUUGGUGCUACAACGAGCUUCUGAUAAAGUUAGGAGUGAUUUUAAUCCACUUUUCAACUUGGAAACCAAGUUGAAAACAAGUCUUCCUUUUUGUUAAUGUGUUGCCGUGAGAACAUAGAGUAUGAGCAGUUCAAACCGGUUACCUAAAUUAUGCUUGUGAUCCGUGCACUGUGAUGGUCAAACUUCUCCUUGUUAAAUGGCAAGCUGCUGUUGCCUUGGAUCCUAAGGUCGUGCUGUGAAUGGUAUUGUAACUGUUAAGGUAAAUCCUGUUCUCCAUUUGUGGCCAUGCAUGAGAAUUGAGAACUGGAGAUCAUUCUGAAUUUUUGCUCCUUACAGAUUGCUUUGUGUAUCCCUUGUGCGCCAAAUGGGACUGAAAUUCGUGGCGUGAUACGUCAUCGUGACCUUUUGAAUUUUAGUUGGCUUUGUUUUUGUUUUCGAGGAUUUAACUGUUGUGCCUCCGUCUUCCAUGUGGCGAAGAAAUUGACGCAGUGGGGUCGGGAUGGUGUUCAGCUGCUGUUUGCUGGUAGACUGUUUAUUUUGUUUGGGAGUAUAAAGGGGUGGAUCAUCCAUCAUAUCUAAGCAAUAUGAUUAGUGCAAAUCAUGAUGGUCAACGUCAGGUUUCGUUUUGGGCAACCAACCACAGGGUUUCUUUGAUGGUUUCGUAUUCAUUGUAAUCGCUGUCGUUGCUUGCUUCUUGCUGCCCACAUUCCUAUUCUCCCGUCGGCUCGACGGAGGAUUUUAUUUUAAGAAUGCAGAGAAAGAAACAUGCCUCCGUUUUCCAAGCAAAGCAUAUAUUCUUUCUGGAAGGUCAACGACAAGGCCCCGGCCGUUCCAAGCUUCUCGCUGGCCUAGCCGUCGCGUCCAUUCAAGCUCAGAGGCGACUGCCGUUCCGAGCUCUCCAAGGGCCCGCGCGAUGGGAAGCGGCGCGGUUCUUGACGGUGGUGUUGUUCCUCGCCGCGGGGGUCCUCUUCGCGCCCGAAUCGCUGGCGCCUCGGCGGCCACCGCAUGGGGCACCGGCCUCUGGGUCGCAUUCAUCGGCGGCACCAUCCUGUUCAGGUAAGCAAGCGCCGCCGCUGCCGCUUCGUCCGCCCCAAGAUCAGAUGGUUGGAAACAAGCGAGAGAUGGAUUCUGUCAUGUUUACUAAUAUACCAUUAUACCCAAGCCUAAAUGUGAUAUGCUGCUGCUGUCAUAGCAUUCACAUUCAAAUCCAAUUUCGUGCGCAGCAAUGCACGGCGCCCAUCCUAGGAAGAACUCUGAGGAAAAUGACAAGCCUCAUGAAUCUGUCCUUGGAAUCAUGCGAGUUUUAGUAAAUCAUUGGAAUCCACUGGAUCAUCAUCUUAAUCUGGCAACCAUUGGUCCGGAAAAAUCAUUCUAGUAAAUAUUCACCUUGACGAUCUGUUGGAAGGACAAGGACCACAAAAAUUAUGAAUUGGGAUUUAUGUGCUGUAUUGAGAGAGCCCGUAGGUGCUGGAUUUCUCUGGAAACGUUCUGAAAGUUCUGGUAGUGGUAGCACUGCUACAAUUUUACAAGCAUGUGGGGUUGUUCCUCUGUUUGUUGAUUAGGUAUUAUGUUUUGCAGUCUUAAAGUUCAGAAGGUAAUUACCCAGGUGUGCAAGUAUACCUUCAAGUUUUUUUUUAACAUAGUGUACAUAUUACCUUGUUAUAGUGAGAACAGAGAAGUCCACCGCAAAAGUAUAGCCUAGCAUAUAUUGUUCUUGCAAUAGACCAUGUGUGGAUAUGCCCCUUUGCAGGUCGAUUAUUCCAUUCAGAACAUAGCAUGGACCUCUAUAGUGUUUUGGAUAGAUUUUUUUUUAUUAUAAAGGUACUUGCCGAGGCACCAAUUUGGGAGUCUGCGGGGUAAAAUGUUCCCGGCGUAGUUCAUAUUGACAUCAGUGUGUUCAGCGAUAUCUGUGGCAGCAUUCGUAUACCUGCACCCCUGGAAGACAGCAUCAACCAUCGAGCGUUACCAGCAUGGAUUCCUUCUUUCGGCCCUUAUCUGUAACCUUUCAAACCUUCUGGUCAUCACACCCGAUCCUUACCUGCGCUGCCGCCGCACCGCCACCUCUCCCUCCCUGCGUCGCCGCCGCGCCGCCACCACUCCCUCCCUGCGUCACCGCCGGGACCCCGACGACCCCUCCCACCACUCCCUGCAACUGAAGAGGUAAUCCGACAGCGCCCCCUCCGGGCGCCGCCACGCCGACCCGCCUCCGGGUGCCCAAUUGAUACGCCCGGACCGCUCCUCCUCCGUCCGCUGCCCAACCGUGCCUCCUCCGGGCGCCCAACGCCGGCGCACCCCCUGUCCGGUUGCCCCUCCGCGCCAGCGCCCCCCUUCCCGGCCUUCUCUCCACCCCUCCCCCGGCCUCCCCUCCACGCCGGCGCGCUGGUAGACGGACGCCUCUGGCUACUUCUGUGCCGGCCGCGCCGCCGCCAAGCUCGCCCCUACGAAAACGGUAACCUCUUCCGCCCAUCUGCACAUCUCCAUGACAAUCCGUUUUUAUGCAUCCUUAUUGAGGCGGAUCUGGUGGUUCGAUUGCAUAGAGGAGGAUAAUGAUUAGUGGAUUUGCUUGAUUGGCAACAUAGUCCAUCAUUUAUUCUCCUGUUCUCCAUUAUCAGUAUUGUGAAAUUGCUUGACAGAUGGCUGGUCACUUGUUUUUUUUUAGUGAUUCCAAUGGUAAUCAUAUCAUACCAGACCUAGAUAGAAUAUAAUAUGAGAUGAUGUUGCAGACUGAGUCAUCUGAUUCUUGCAGUCUAAUUCUAGGAGUUUUAGGCAGUGGCAUGUGAAUAUUAUCAAUACUUCUGCUUCAGUUAACAUAUGCAACUUAUGGGCACUCACAUAGCAGGUUAUUUUUCUGUUGUUUUAACUAACAUGGCAUGACGUGAUGUUUUUGACUGUUUAACUAAUAGAAUCUUUAAGCUUUGAUUGGUACACUCAAACUUCAUUAUUGAGAUUGGUCGACUGUCAGUAUUGUGAAAUUGCUCAACAGAUGGGAUAUUGCUUGCAUUAAAAGAUUAGCUUCAGGAUAUUGCUUCGAUUGUAGAGGAUGAUAAAAGUAUUGAUUUUUCUUUCCUUGUUUUUUAGUCAUUCGUGCUUACUCUCUAGCAAUGGUUAAUUACAACACUGCAGGACUACUAGCUAGCGUAUUUAUCUAGGUUCUGAUAUAAAGCAUAUAACAUUGGAUCUGGGAUAAUAUGUUGGCUAUUUUGUGGCUGGCCCGGAAGCCCAGUGGUUGCUUUGCUUUGCUACCUGCUUUUGCAACUCUCUUCUUUUCUGAGCUCAUUCUUACACUUUAGCCUGCAGUCGAGUAUGUGUGUUAGCUAUUGAGCUGUUUUGCUUUGCUUAAUCAAAUGCUAUAUUACACCAUGUUUUCAAAUUUGUUCCCAUAGUUAUUUAGCUUAACCUCUAUCUCUGAAAUCAGGUACUUGAUAGGAUGAACUGUAGGGGUCUGAGGUCUUUUUUUAAUGAAGCAACAGGGGAGGACCCUACUGACAAAUUUCAGAGGAUAUAUAUCUGUACAGGUUGCAUGGCCAUGUAGUUCCAAAAGAAAAAAAAGGAGGAGAUUUAGAUCCCUCUCCACGAAAUAUUUUCAUGGUUGUCCAUAAAUAUUUGUUUUCUGUGCAUUAAGCUUUUCUGUUGUGCUAAUCUGAUUCAAGGAACCCAGAAUUGCAACUAUCUUAAAUUUUCUUUUUAUAUUCCAUUUUAUAUCAAUUCCAGGUACAUGCAUGAUUGGUAUGGCCAGGUUGAAUGCAAAUAUGUGGCAACACUGAAGUAGAACAAUCAUUAUGAAGCAUGUCAAGUAAGCAUGUUCUAACUUUUGGAAUGUAGCUUCAUGAAUUUGAUUCUUUGAUAUACUAUACAAGGUUGUAUUUGUUUGAUCUGUCACUUAAUUUGACAUUGGAGUUGUCCGGCCAACAAAUCCACAUGUGCCUCCGCCACAUGGACGCCCCCAAGGCCCGUACGUGAUCCCCAGGUCCCUUCCCUUCUGUUUGGUUGCAAACACUGACAGAGAACCAUUUGCAACUGAGCUCAUGACUAACUUAAUGUACCGUUGCUGCUUGCAGGUCACAGCUCAGAUGAGGCAAAGCGGAUAGCUUGAUUACUGGAUGCAGGAUUAGCAUCCACCAUGAGCCUGUGCACCUGGUCCAUCGUAAUUCUUUGAAUUUACUCUAUUGAAUGCAGGGUGUUCCUGAAAUUGCAAGAAUUAUGGCACCAGAUUGGUCGUCGAUGGACAGAAGGCAAUGCUGUGCUGCCAAUUAAGUUGCCUGGUGAUGUUUCUAACAUGCAUUCUGUACUAUCUGACAUUUUAGAUUUCAGGCUGCUAUCGUAUCUGGUUUGUGACUGUAUUUUCUACCAAUCAAGUUGCCAUCAAACUUAAAUAUUGAAGCCUCUGGUGGAUAUGAUGAUGAAUUGACUGUAGACUGUUGGCCCUUGGGCAUUGCAAAGAGAAGGAAAUAUCUGUUAAGAUAGCCAAAACCAUCAAGUUAGUCCAGAUCAUGCGCUACAAAAUUUCACUUCUUUUAUGAACUGCUGUAGUGUGUAAUAUAAAUAAUGCCAUCAAGUUAAUAUGUAUGUGCAAAAAAUCCCCUGACAGGAAAUUAUUAGGAAUUUAUAUUAGAAACAGGAAACAUGAAUGCUGAAGCAUGUUAGAACUGACAAAACACAAUCAGACAUAGGCAGGUUCUUGGGACUGCAUGAAGAGAGACUCAGAUUCCUAAGGAUUGUUCAAGUGCAUUCGAUGUGAUUUGCCGACGAAUGGAACAGAGGAUGGCCUAUGGCCAGAAUGAGCAGGUGAGGCUCCAUACUAUCUUACCGUAUGUCUUCCUCAUGUCUCAUGUGUUGCAUUGCAUGUAACUGUUAAAGUAUCUGUGCUACAGAUCUCACUUUAUUAAAUCAUGUGAGAUUAAACUUACAUUUAUAUUGUCAUUAAUAGAAAUCAACAGAAAAGAGGUACUGAUUGGAUUACUAAUUCAUUAUUUGUAGUUGCCUUAGUCAAGAAUAUAAAUUUGUCAGGGACAACUCAAAUACAGAAACACACUCAUGAUCCUUUGUAGUUUGCAGUAGAUUGCGAGUUUAAUGGUAAAUCUGGACUUGAACUUCUUUUCAGACUCUGUUCUACCACCGAAUUUCAUACUGCAUUACUUCAUGCUCGAAAAAUGGAUGAAAUCAAAUCGAUAGCCUUCCUCGGUUAACCAUUGCAGAGACACCGCUCUUGUAAUUCAGGACAUGGUACUGCUGCACGAAGUGGAGGUGGAAUACCCGGACGGUCGACCCAUCGAAAAGCACCAAGCGAUGCUACUGGAGUUCGGAAAGUUUGAAAAUGGCCAAUCCACCACUGCCAUGUCCCUCACCGUUGGUGUAGCAGCAGAAAUAGGGGCUCUGGUAGUAACCUUAACCACAGUUAUACUUGCAUGAGGAUAAAAGCAGAAACCCCAUGUAUAUUCAUUUACUCUUGCCCCAUGCCAUGUUGCAGCUCUUGCUCCAGAACAAGGUGCAGACGAAAGGAGUGAUUAGGCCUCUGGAACCUGAAAUCUACAUUCCAGGUGAGUGCAACGUGGACCAUGGUUUUCAUGCCUGUCCUUUGUGGAAUCACCGUGACAUGCAACAGUGCUGACUCGUGUGUUUGCGUGUGUGAAGCAUUGGAAAUCUUGGACUCGUCAGGCAUAAAGCUGACUGAGAGAGUGGAGAUUUGAAAAUUCGUGUGUACUCCCUCCGUCCCUGUCGUUUUCGCUUCCUGAGAAACAACUUUGACUAAAUAUAUAUAAAAAAUAUUAAUAUUUAUGAUACAAAAUUAAUACAAUUAGAUAGAUAUUUGAAUCUAGUUUUUUAAUAAAUUUAUUUGAAGAUACAAAUGGUGCACGUAUUUUCUACAAAUCCAGUCAAACUUGCGGCACGGAAACCAAAAGCGACAGUUAUUUAGGGACGGAGGGAGUAAGCAUUGGAGAUCUUGGAGUCGUCAGCCACCAAGCUGACUGAGAGAAUGUAGAUUUGAAAAUUCGAAGUUAAUAGUACAUAGAUAUACUAUAUGAUAAUAGCUGGGUACAUAUAUUCUGUACAUACUAUGUUCUGUCCUAAGAAAGGGUAGGAACUCCCAACAGUUUGUCGUCGUCGUUGUACAUAGAAUCUCAUAAUGUAUAACUUUCAAAGCUCUAAAAACAACAGGUCUUGUGUGCAACGAUGAUAGUCGGAUUAGUUAUACACCAUGUACUUUAGUGUGGCACUAAAUUAUGAAUAGGUUCUCUAUACUUAAAGCUUCUUAGACUAUGAUGUUCGUCAGCUCACUGGUGAUUGGAAAGGCGUCUUUAGAAAUUGCUACGCAAAACGAUUGGGAGUAUAGGGCAACCCUGCUUGCUUAUUCAAAUUGAUGUACCUAAGGGUGUAAAAUGUGAAGAUAUAUGGAAGUCUUGAUUGUGGAGAAAAAUUGUCAAUCAAAAUAGCAUCUUAUUUAUGAGGUGGGGCCUGAUUCGACUCAUGUCGAGCCCUCUCCUUUGCACCAACGAACAGAUCCAAUCGUUUAAAAUCAGGUCCAAGUUCACAUCUCUUUUGCCCUCCCACUCAGAGCACAAUCGGCCAGCGCGACGGGGAUGGCGACACAGCCACCGACGGCUGGAGCUCCCUCAAUGCUGCCAGCAGGUAAUUGACUAGCCUAUUACUAUUUGGAUGUGAUGCACAUUGGUCACGAAUUUGUAAAUCUAUCAGUUCCUGCUUCCUGCAUCCAUUUGUGCAGUUCUUGCGGUGGAUGCAGUGCACUGAGUAUAGAAAUUAUUUUUUAUUACUUCUGUGAAACGUUUUGGCCUUGGCAAGUAUGUACAGAUUUAGUUGUUGUUUUUUUAGUCAGAGGUGAGCUACGUGUAUGGGAAAGAAACACUUGAUUGCUUGUUCUAGAUCUUGCCUUCAUAUAAACUGUGAUGCUAUCAACAUGGAGAUUUGAUGCAUUCUACUCUCUCUCUAUUUCACAUGGAAAAGAACUCGUGUUUACUCAAUAAUGCUUAUGAAUUUUCCUUAGAGUUGCAUUUAUUCAUCAUCCUAAAGUAUUCCGUGUCAAGUAAACUCAUACUUCUAAUUUUUCAAAAAACAAUCUGAAAUCAAUGAACCCCUCCUUCCUUGUGAAAUUGUUGUACCUUUUUCCUUAUGACAUCUUAUCUACUUCCACUUUCCUGGUGCAGAAUUUUUGAAAGUAGGAAACGUAAGCAAUGACAGUGAGAGUCGCAGCAAUACUGAGCUCAAUAGGUGAACUAGACAAACCAUUCUGCUGUAGUUCAUUUUAUCACUGCAGUCAUCGUCGGACAAUGAGGUCAGAACCAGCAGGUUCGCAGAGUGACUUGUGACUUGUGGAUAAUCCUGCAGAUUCAACAAUGGUAAAGUAACGAAUGGUUAAGGUAUAAGUAGAUUUACUCAAUUAUACUCCAAUAGCUAAUGCAUUGCAUAUAUUGCUUGGCCGUGUAUAUAAAUAUUACAUCACUGUUCAACAUAAGUAAAUAGCUUGGUCCUUCAUAAUAAAGCAGUCCAUUUUGGUAAAAGCUAUAGUGCAAUUAGUUUUCUUGAUUUUCUUAAAAUUUUACUCAAAGUCUGUUCCUUAUGUUGUACAUUUGCCUCGCGGGCUGGCUAACUGACCUACAUGAGGCUGGCUAACUGAUCUGGAGGUUCACUAUCUAUGUUCUUUCAUUUCAUUGUCAAACAGAGAUAUUCUAAAUCUGAAAGUCUGUUGAAAUUGCCUAUGGAGUCUUGUGGUACCUUUAGUGUUUCUUAUCAUGUCCAGUAGG
rnacentral:lncRNA from 1 species